AACGCACCUUGCGCUCCUUGGUAUUCCGAGGAGCAUGCCUGUUUGAGUGUCAUGAAAUUCUCAAGCUUGUAAGCUUUUACUAGCUGAUCAGGCUUGGAUGUGGGAGUUUGCGGGCUUCUCGAGAAAGUUGGCUCUCCUUAAAUUCAUUAGCGGGACCUUUUUGGUUGCUCCGGCCUUUGGUGUGAUAAUUGUUUACGCUAUUGUUGGAGUGAUUUGGGUGCAGCUUCUAAUUCUAAUUGUCUUUGUGACAAUGUAUAUGACAAUUUGACCUCAAAUCAAGUAGGACUACCCGCUGAACUUAA
rnacentral:misc_RNA from 2 species